UACGAAGGGUGCAAACGUUGCUCGGAAUCAUUGGGCGUAAAGCGCACGUAGGCGGCCCAGCAAGUUGGAUGUGAAAUCCCUCGGCUCAACCGAGGACGUGCAUCCAAAACUGCUGGGCUUGAGUACUGAAGAGGAUCGCGGAAUUCCCGGUGUAGAGGUGAAAUUCGUAGAUAUCGGGAGGAACACCAGUGGCGAAGGCGGCGAUCUGGGCAGAUACUGACGCUGAGGAGCGAAAGCGUGGGGAGCGAACAGG
rnacentral:rRNA from 1 species